GAUGAACGCUGGUUACAGGCUUAACACAUGCAAGUCGAGGGGAAACGACGGGGAAGCUUGCUUCCCCGGGCGUCGACCGGCGCACGGGUGAGUAACGCGUAUCCAACCUGCCUCUGACUGAGGGAUAACCCGUCGAAAGUCGGCCUAAUACCUCAUGGCAUCGUCUGCGGGCAUCCAACGACGAUUAAAGAUUUCAUCGGUCAGAGAUGGGGAUGCGUCAGAUUAGCUUGUUGGCGGGGUAACGGCCCACCAAGGCGACGAUCAGUAGGGGUUCUGAGAGGAAGGUCCCCCACAUUGGAACUGAGACACGGUCCAAACUCCUACGGGAGGCAGCAGUGAGGAAUAUUGGUCAAUGGGCGAGAGCCUGAACCAGCCAAGUAGCGUGCAGGAUGACGGCCCUAUGGGUUGUAAACUGCUUUUAUGCGGGGAUAAAGUGAGGGACGUGUCCUUCAUUGCAGGUACCGCAUGAAUAAGGACCGGCUAAUUCCGUG
rnacentral:rRNA from 1 species